UACGUAGGGAGCAAGCGUUGUCCGGAUUUAUUGGGCGUAAAGGGCGCGUAGGCGGUUCGUACAGUCAGACGUGAAAUUCCUGGGCUCAACCUGGGGGCUGCGUUUGAUACGUGCGGACUUGAGUGCGGAAGAGGGUCGUGGAAUUCCCAGUGUAGAGGUGAAAUUCGUAGAUAUUGGGAAGAACACCGGUGGCGAAGGCGGCGACCUGGUCCGAUACUGACGCUGAGGCGCGAAAGCGUGGGGAGCAAACAGG
rnacentral:rRNA from 1 species